UAGGAGGCUGCCAUUAUUCACUCAGUAAGAUAAAAAAGAACGCCAGUUAGUGAAAUAAAUCAAUUCUACAUACUAAAUACUAUCUAAUACUGGCUAUACCUUGUUGUAAAGAGAGCAAAAGAGAGCUGUGCCUGAAUCAGCUAUCGUCACGGAGUUAUAGGAUGUAAAAUGAGUGAAAGAGAGCUGUGCCUGAAUCAACUAUCGUCACGGAGUUAUAGGCAGCAAAAUGGUGGAGGAGGUGAAAAGGCUACGCAGGGGAGGCCCAGUCCACAGAGGGAUAUUGAAUCACAUCGAUUCUUCACAUCCCAGAGACUUCCAGGGUUUAGAGAUUCCCAGUUCAGGAUCGAGACUCUGAACGUAGACAGAUUUCCCUUGAUUCAUUCUUCAUGGUGGAAGGACAAACGGAAACCAAACUCAU